rnacentral:tRNA from 1 species
GGAGAGGUUCCCGAGUGGCUAAAGGGGGCAGACUGUAAAUCUGCUGGCAGUGCCUUCGGUGGUUCGAAUCCACCCCUCUCCACCA